rnacentral:lncRNA from 1 species
AAAUAUUAUAAUUAUUUUUGAUGACACUCAUUUUAACAUGAAAUACAUCACUCAUUAACCUUUCGUUACUCACAUGCGGACUCAUAAAAAUAGUUUAUUGUAUGAUAAUAAAACCCUUCGGGGUAAACGUUUAUAGUUCUAUGUACCUGGUACACUAUUUAGGACAUUUAGCCAAUAUUUCAGCCGUUUUUGUAAUCUUCUUUACUUUGUGUUUUAAAUUGCGGUGUCCCGCACCAAAAUAUUUUAUGGUAUGACAAUAAAACCCUUCGGAGUAAACGUUUAUAGUUCUAUGUACCUGGAGUACACACUAUUUAGGAGAUUUAUCCAAUAUUUAAGUCGUUUUUAUACCCUUCAUUACUUUGUAUUUUAAACUGCGGAGUCGGUCAGUCCGCUAUAAGCGACGGUGCUGUGAAGUUCAAAAGUGUAAUAAGCAAUGGCUACAUACGAAAAAGAACAAGAAGGAUUGAGCCGACUUAUGGACGUGUGUUUUUGUUUCAAGAGAUGGAAGAGGAAGAAGACGAUGAAAAUUUAGAAGACUGCGAAGAAGAUGACGAAGUAGCGGAAAAUCUUGCCGACAAAGAGGAGGCGGAAAAUUCUUCUAGUGAACAGGACGUAUCGGAUGCAGAACAAGAACCAUAACAGGUCCAUAUUUUAUUGGGAAAGAUUCUACAAAAUGGCAAAAACAUGAUCCACGUCGAAAUGUAAGAACGCGUGCCGAGAAUAUAAUAAAACAUUUGCCGGGUCCAAAAGCUUCGCUAAAAGGUACCAAGAAUUAUUUAGAAAUUUGGAAGUAUUUUUUCAACAUAGACAUAAACAUCAUUACGAUUUGCACCAACAAAUACAUUCAAAAACACCAAGAAAACUAUAGUAGAGAAAUGGAUACGAAACUGACUAGUUUGUCGGAAAUAAAAGGACUCCUUUAUUUGGGUGGAGUGUUGAAAUCCAAUCGACUACACGCUGCGGAUUUAUGGAGCACAAACGGAACAGGUAUAGAAUUACUUCGGUUAGUUAUGACGCGAACUAGAUUUCAAUUUUUGCUACAAAGUUUACGUUUUGACGAUUUGGAGACGCGGAAUGAAAGAAAAUCAAUCGACAAAUUAGCUCCUGUGAGAGAUAUAUUUGAAAUAUUUGUUCAAAAUUCCAGAAAUGCAUAUACUCCAUUUGAGUAUGUAACAGUCGACGAAAAAUUAGAGGGAUUUAGGGGAAGAUGUCCCUUUAGACAAUACAUUUCAUGCAAGCUAAAUAAAUAUGGAAUUAAGAUAUUUGCUUUGGCAGAUGCAAAGACAUACUUUGCUUGCAACUUAGAAGUGUACGUAGGCGUUCAACCAACAGGGCGAUAUUCAUGUAGUAAUUCUUCUCAAGCUGUAGUAGAAAGACUAUGCGAACCACUAAAAGGUUCAAAUAGAAAUGUGACAGCCGUUAAUUGAUUUACGUCGUUAGUUCUAAUCAAUACUCUAAGAACUAAUUUCAAAUUGACCUAUUUGGGGACUGUCAGAAAAAACAAACGUGACGACCAAUUGGAUCCACCAUGUACGGUUUUCGGAAAAACAUUACCUUAGUUUCGUAUAUUCCUAAAAGAAACAAGAAUGUUCUAUUGUUAUCAAGUUUACAUCAUGAUGACAAAAUUGAUGAAGAAACUGGCAAACUUGACAUGAUAAUGGAUUACAAUCGCACAAAAGGUGGAGUAGAUACAUUGGACAAGUUAUGUGCUGCAUACAACUGUGCAAGAAAUACUCAAAAGUAGCUAAAUGGUGUUUCUUUAGGCCUUGCUAAAUGUGCAAAUGUGCUGGAAUGAAUGCGCAAGUUAUUUACUUAUUGAAUAACACAGAAAUAAUACGGUUUCGUUGAAGAGAAUUUCUUCAAAUUUUAUUAGCUGCGUUGGUGGAAGACUCCCUCCGCUAACGUCUGCAACAAUGUAAUAUAUAAGAGCGAUCAAAUUCAUAAUACGAGAAAUUCUUAAGCUCGAUAUAAGAACGAAACAACAACCGCAAACAUCAUCGAAUGUAAGAGGAUUUUUGCAAUCGUGUAAAAAAUCGCCCAACAAGAUUUUCUUGUAAAAGAUGUUUUCGAUUCAUUUGUGGUGAGCAUUCUAUUUCAGUAUGUUCCGAAUGUUUCGAAGAAAUAUAAUCGCAUUUUUGUAGUUACAUGUAAAUAAAUUAUUGUACCAAGUUAUUGAUUUUCAUUUUAGAAUAAAGCAUCUAAUAUGUAUAUCUAUUAGUUAUGGAAUUUAUAUACAAUCAUUCACACUCAAAAUUUCUAUUCUUUAGAUCUGAAAUAUAUAAUUUUUGGCACAUAAUUACAUUAAAAGACGUUUAGUUGUUUGUAAAUAAGUUUCUGAUUUAAUAGCAUCACUUCAGAUCUAAUAAUUAUGGUGCGGACUGGUAGUCCGCUGUGAGUAACAGAUCACAGGAUUCAAAGGUGAGUAACGAAAGGUUAAGAAUUAGACUACAACUUUGAAACUUCGGUAAAAUAAUGUUUUAUUAUCAACUGAGAAACGAUGAAAGUUUAGUUGGAAAAAAACAAAACAAAAAUGAACAUUUUUCAAGAAAAAGCUAUGCAGUGGUCGAUGUCCUCCUAGGGUAUCUCGUUCCAUGCAACCUCUAGAUAGUGUCGAAGUUCAUCCAAAUUCUCAGGAGACCUGGGUACUUGUCUUAGUCGCCGACCCAUCAUAUCCCAGACAUGUUCAAUUGGCGACAAGUUCGGUGACCUUGCAGGCCAGGGCAAAAUCUGCAAUCCAACCUGCUCCAGGAACCUUCUUGUAACCACAGCAGUAUGGGGUCUUACAUUAUCCUGUUGGAAAGUGGCAUUCUGCAACGUCUGCAUGAAAGGUACUAACACCGGUUCCAGAACGUUGUCGAUGUAACGACGUACGUUUAAUGUGCCUGGAAUGAACGUAAGGGGUGUCCUUCGUCCAGCACAUAUCGCCACCCAAACCAUAGCCCUAGGUGUUAAGGCUGUGUGUCGUCUUUGAACGAACUUCAAAUUCCGUCUUUCUCCUCGAUGUCGCCGCUCCCUUCUACGACCAUCAUUCACUUAUAAACAAAACCUUGAUUCAUCGCUGAAGACGAUGUCAUUCCAUUAAAACCAUGCAAGUCUGGCUGCUCUAUGGGGAGGUGUUAAUGGAAGCCGAAGGUAAGGACGGUAUAAAUGAAGCCCAAAGGAAGACAUUCUUCUGUAAGCAGUUGCCAUCGACAAGUGUCGGUUCAAAGCUCUCGUCCAAUCCACAGCAAUCGACCUUGUUUGAAAUCGAUCCCUGGUAGCCAUCCGCCUAAGGCGUCGGUCUUCACGUAUGUUGCUUCUUCGGGCGGGUCUUCCACCAGGACGGUGCCCCUGAAUACCUUCUUCGGAACAUAAACACCAUAUCCGAGCACCUGUAGUGUGGUCCAGAUUCAGCCUUCUCCCAAUCUCUCGGAAUGAGAGACCCGCCUCUUUCAUACCGAUAAUUCGGCCCCUAUCAAAGUCAUUGAUAUGGGCAAAAUUUCGACGACGUCGCAUUGGGGGCAUUACAAGGCAUCUAUUUGACAGUUUGGCAAUUAAAUAAACUGACAUUUUGUGGGCAGAAAUUCAUUAAUUGCUAGGAAGAAAUUAUUGAAAGUUGGAGAUAACAAUGGUACAGGAAACAUAACAGUUGAUUUUUUUCGGCGGAAGUUUUCAUCGUUUCUUAGUUGAUAAUAAAGCAUUAUUAUUUUACCGAAGUUUUAAAAUUGCAGUUUACAUUUUAGUGGGUGGUGGAUUUCAUAUGAAAGUGAGCAUAUUUUAGUGUGAAUUAAUUUGGUUAGUUUAUUUUAUUUUAUCGUUUUAAUAACAAAAUUGAUUAAUUUGUGAGUAUUGGGUUUAUUAUCUUUAAUAUAGUGUUUAAUCAGGUUGUGUAAUUUUUAUUGGUAAAUAUCAAAUCUCAUGAGUGUUAUGCAACAAAGUUAUUAUAAAAUGUAUAUAAAUUAUUAAGUUUAAACGGAAUCCACCGAAAAAUCGAAGCACCCACCUCUCCAUAUUUAGAAAACCGUCCAUAAUUUUAUAGCAAAGGUUUCAACUACGCCGUAACCCCCAAGACUAUUCCGGUCGAAGAAACCAUUGCCAACGUCGACCACAAUGGACAAACAAAAAGCCGAAAUUCUGCGAAUGGACAUCUCCAGGAUCCUACGUUUAGCCAAACCAACCAAGCCCAACUUGGUUCUAAGUGAACUCCAGGCCUUAAAACGACUUUAAAAUAUCCGUGAUAUCUGUGAUCGCGACAGAUGACAGGUCUACUUCAGGGUUGCACUCAUGCACACGCCUUGCUUUAUCUCUCAAUACCUUACGGGGGAAGCCAUUGUCCUAUCCCCAUUUCCUAACCAAAGAACUAAGAACCUAAGACCAUUCAUGAGUUUUGAUGAGCACGAAGAAAGUAGUCUUGCCAGGCGACCCAACUAGCAAUUGGUGCUACUCGGAUCCAGGCUACUGGAAGAAAUAUAUGAAAGCCACUGAACAUGGGUAUCUGGAAUGUUUAUAGUUUGGUUGAAUGAGGAAAACUAGCCGUAGUGAAGGGAAAUCUACAGGUAUUCCAUAGAUAGUGGAAAUAUAGACGCACUGGAAAGGCUCGGAACAACAUCAUUUUCUCAGGUGCUGAUUACUCAUCAAAUCAUCUCCAGAAACGCCGUCAGAAUUAGAGUGAAUAAAAACUAGCACAGUUGCAGGCCUAUCCGAUUAACCUCAAUAUAAUACAAGUUUACUUCCCCACAACUAACGUAAGAGAUGAAGAUGUGGACGAAGUAUAUUCCCAAAUGGAUCAACUACUACAUACUUUCUCUAAUAAAGACAUCACGAUGAUAAUUGCCGAUUUCAACGCCAAAAUAGGAACUCCAACGUUCAAGGAGCAAUUGGCAUGUUUGGUUUGGGUGACAGAAACGCUUACUGCAGUUCUGCAUAGAAAACGAGUUCUCCAUCACAGACACGUUGUUGCUUUCUUCCUUUUCUUUCUUACAUCUUUUGACUUACCUACUCUUUCGUCAUUACAUUUUUGCAAUAAUAGUGAUUCAUUUCGAUGCAACUGUUUGUCUCGAUAAUCAAGUAACGACUAAUGUACCUACUGCACUGUACUACACUUUUCAAAACAUAUCGGAAUAUAAAAACCAUAAAUUAACUUUUAA